UACGAAGGUGGCAAGCGUUGUUCGGAAUCACUGGGCAUAAAGCGCACGUAGGUGGCGCCGUAAGUCGGAUAUGAAAUCCCUCGGCCCAACCAAGGAACUGCGUCCGAUACUGCGGUGCUUGAGGGUCAAAGGGGUGCAUGGAAUUCCCGGUGGAGCGGUGAAAUGCGUUGAUAUCGGGAGGAACGCCGGCGGCGAAAGCGGUACACUGGUUGACUUCUGACACUCAUAUGCGAAAGCCAAAAGAGCAAACGGG
rnacentral:rRNA from 1 species